GCUUGCGUUUGCGUGCGCGCAUCUAUAAGGCGUUCCAGUUGGGUAUGGGUUGGGUACGAAAGGCCGUGCACCCCCAAGCCCGCAGCGCCCCAAGAGCUUGGGUACCCAGCACUAAAACUCUCUAUUACCGUGAUAUACCCUAUGCAUGCACCUUGUGCAAACUGAGCGUGAAAGAAUUCUGGACAAGCCUGUCAACAGUGGCAGCUCGCGGAAACGGCUGCAGAUGUACAACAGCUACACAUGGCUUCUGUCUCCUAUGAAAAGGGAACUUCACUGAGCCACCUGGUUGCUUUAUUCAAGUAGCCUGCAUAUUCAGGAUGUUCAAAAUUAAGCCCUUUGUUUUUCUUUCAAAAAGUCAGUGCUGUAAGUUAUGUGUGUAAAAGCCACCUUUGCAGAUAGCUAUGUGUUCAGGGGGAUACAAUGUGCAACAAUACUUAUUAAUGUCAGCCGUGCCGUUGAAUAAGAUGCACUAUUGAACUUAGUGAAGACUGCAGCAGGCCCCUAUGCAUGUAUUAAAAAUUUGAGCCAGUCGCAUUUCUGCAUAGAUCCAAAAAAAUUUUGCAUGCCUGUGCUUAGAUAUCCUGCAAGUAAAUUCAGUUGCAGCUUGCAUCAUUAUGCAUGCAGGACAGUGAGCACUAGCACACAGCUACUACUCCUUGAUGGGCCGCGUAUAAUCUGACCAUGGGUCGAAGCCAUAGGUAAAUAUUAUAAUGGUUACCCUGUUACUACCGGCUGGUGAUAGCUAGCAGUGAGUGCUCGUCCCACCAGGGAUUAAUAGUUAGCUGAACCUCACUGCCUUGCAUGUGUCAUGAUGAAAAGCACAAUUGAACUUCGGAUCGGGAUAUCUCGAAGCAUAGACAUGCUCGAAGAAUUGUUUCAAGUGGGAUUGUGUAGAAACACAACUGCCACAAACUUUUCUGUGCAAACAUACCCACUUAUUGUAGCCACCGAAAUUUCGUUAUUCUUAGUUUAUUGGGUAGCUGACAGCAUUAUUGUCUUACUUAGAGUCCCCCUGGAAACAUAACUGAUCUAAAAAGGUGGUUUUCUAUUUUUAAGGAUGAAUUUUAAUGCAAGUACAAAGCACAUAUCUGAAUGUGUCAGCGCUGCUUCCAAAGUUUUUUACAGAAUAUAUAUUUUUUUCAAAAUCUACACAGUAAGGUGCCCUCAAGACUUGUGUGUCAUGUGCAAUUAAUCACUUUUACAAUUGAACCUUUUGCAUUGUGAUAAGUCAGUAGUAGAUCAAUAAUUUUAUUUUCAUUCUAAAAUUGGCUAAAUAUUUUAUUUUAACAUGUUUUGUAACAUUAGUUUAUUGUAUUCUAGAAUUUAAUGCCAUAAGUGCAAUCAAGUGAUUUCCUACAGUCAUACUUAAUCAUACCUAACUUUGCCAAUACCUAACUAACCAUGUGUGAUAUGUUAGUGAUACUUAACCAUGUUUGACAUUGUUAAUGAUAACUGACAGAAGGCAUUCUGGAAUAUUGUAACUUAAGUCCAUUGAUUAAAAGUGUUAUGGUGACAUUUUUAAAACUACAUGAUGAUAUUUGCUUGCCUCAUAUUGUGUAAUAUUUAAUAGGAAUUCUAAGUGCUGGGUUUGACGUGAUCAAAACCACAAUAUAUGAUUAUCGGCGAUACCAUAGUGAAAGACUUCAGAAAUUUUGACUGCGUGGGAAAUGCACCUAUGUCUUACUCAAGCCUAUCUUUUUCGAUGAAAAUUGCGGCCACCGCAGCCGGGUUUCGAUUCCGCGACCUUCAGUUCAGCAGUCAAGGGUUACAUUAAGUCUACUGCUGGUUGUGAGCUGUAGUGUUGCUUUCAGUGAUGGAUGCUACUUACUGCAGUUUGUUGCCAACCAGGUAUCUCUGCUAGUGCACUGAUGGUAUUCGUCACAUUCCUAAUUUAUUGCAAUAUUUAAGGAUUGCCGCAUGAGUUGGUUCUGAUGUUAUGAUUGUCCUGUUUUUAUACUCUGUAAGGCUACAUACAUUGGUCAUUAGCCUAUAAAGCCCAGCAAGUCACUGCGAUUUACUUUACCUAUUAUUAUAGAACACAUGGCUAGUUUGGGUGUGCAAAUAUUAUCUAAGUAUACUCUCCGUAGUGUUUCGAAUGCCUUGAAAAAAGCUUUCUGGUCAGAAGUUACUGUUGUGAUGAGUUUAUUACGUAAAACAUUUGUUUGUGUUUGAGAAAUAAAUGUACUCUCAAUUACCUAGAAAAAUGCUGAAAAAGUAAAAAAAACUUUCACAGUGACAAUGAUAUGUUCAAGCUUCAUUGUGCUAAGGCUGAUGUGUUAAUCUUAUUUGUUUUCAACCACCAGCUGAUGUACGUUACCUGUUCAAAUAUUGUCUGUAAAAUGCUCCAAACUGUACAGUGUAGAUGAAAAUAAAUAUUUUGCAGUUUCA